CCCUUAGAUGUUCUGGGCUGCACGCGCGCUACACUGAUGCACUCAUCGAGUUUAUGACCUUGCCCGAUAGGGUUGGGUAAUCUUCUUAAAAUGCAUCGUGAUGGGGAUAGAUUAUUGCAAUUAUUAAUCUUCAACGAGGAAUUCCCAGUAAGCGCGAGUCAUCAGCUCGUGCUGAUUACGUCCCUGCCCUUUGUACACACCGCCCGUCGCUCCCACCGAUUGAGUGAUCCGGUGAAUAAUUCGGACUGCAGCAAUGUUUGGAUCCCGAACGUUGCAGUGGAAAGUUUAGUGAACCUUAUCACUUAGAGGAAGGAGAAGUCGUAACA
rnacentral:rRNA from 1 species